UCCGGUUUGUCACCGGCAGUCUCAUUAGAGUGCCCUUUCGUAGCAACUAAUGACAAGGGUUGCGCUCGUUGCGGGACUUAACCCAACAUCUUACGACACGAGCUGACGACAGCCAUGCAGCACCUAUCUCCACGUCCCCGAAGGGAAAGCCUCAUCUCUGAGGUUGUCGUGGGAUGUUAAGCCCAGGUAAGGUUCUGCGCGUUGCUUCGAAUUAAACCACAUACUCCACCGCUUGUGCGGGCCCCCGUCAAUUCCUUUGAGUUUUAGUCUUGCGACCGUACUCCCCAGGCGGGUUACUUAAUGCGUGAGCUCCGGUACCCAGGAGGUUAACAUCCCGGACACCUAGUAACAUAGUUUACGGCGUGGACUAC
rnacentral:misc_RNA from 1 species